GACAGAGGUGCCAAGCGUUAGGCGGAAUCACUGGGCUUAAAGCGUGUGUAGGCGGAUCGUUAAGUGCCUUGUGAAAUCCCACGGCUCAACCGUGGAACUGCUGGGUAUACUGGGCGUCUUGGGCCAUUCAGGGGCGACUGGAACAAGCGGUGGAGCGGUGAAAUGCGUAGAUAUCGCUUGGAACGCCGAAGGUGAAAACAGGUCGCUGGGGAUGUGCCGACGCUGAGACACGAAAGCCAGGGGAGCAAACGGG
rnacentral:rRNA from 1 species